CAUACUAAACUACUGGCAGAGAUGUAUUCUCGGAACAGCUUUUUAAAGUCUGUCUGCAAACAACACCAAGAUGAAACGUGUCUCCCAAGCCUGCAUGGGGAUGGCGCUUCUUGGCAGGAGAGGUCCUGCAGGCCAGGAAGAUCACAGCCUGGGCUGCAACCCGUCAAGAGGUCUAGACAGCGGCUUCUAAUUCUGGAAGAGUGGGCCAUUAGCAGAGCCAACAAAUGGCAUGAUGGUAGACCCAUCUAUUGUGGACGCAACUAAGUGUCACAUUUGCUUUCCAAGCAAGAAGCAGGAAGGAAGAAAACGAAAGUGGAAAAGAAAGAGCACUGUAUCAGGAAAGCAAAAGCUUUUCCAGAACUCUCAGCUUCCAAGUCUCACUGACUGCAAUUGUGUCAUAUGGCAGCCCUAGCAGAAAUGGCGUCUGGGCCUAAGUCCCACUCCAGCCCUUGAAUGGACAUGCUCCACUUCCUCAGUCCCCGAUGGAUCAAACGGGCUCUAACACUGAAACCAGAUUACCACAGAGCUCUUCUGAAAAGUCAAGAAAUAGUGAAUAGAAAACAUCUCGAGCUUGCCGUGGAGGAAAAAUCAUAUGAUCAUUAUGAGAGCCAUUUCCGACCUCCUCAGACAAAUCGUUCAUGCCUAGCUUGUCUGCCUUUUGCUAAGUUGAACCUCUGACACGAACUUUCCUCGCUGGCAGAAGCACUGCAAAUGGACACAGAAAUCUGUUUCUCAAGAACAGAACUCACCGCGGGUGGUGCUAGACAGCCUCCUGUCAACGCUUUGAGCACAGAUCCCUCCUUGCUUAGUCUCACCUUUCCCAGGAGAGCUGAAUGCAGAGGAAUUCCAAAAGCCGGAUGCCUGCACUGUUCAGAAACACGACAUACCCACGGGGAAACAGCCAGAUGGAGGCUGAGGAACAGAAGCUAUGCAUGUGACCAGUGUCCCUUCAGAACUAAGGCCUCCUGCAGUUUCUGCAUCAGACAUUAACAGAGACAUAGGAGCUGAAAGAAAUUGGGGCAAUUUGUGAACUAAACUGAAUGUUCCAGCAUUUAAAUGUACCUGAAAUACCCUGUCACGAUACACAACACGCACAGAUACACUUGCAUAAAGUUUAUAGAAAUACAGGUUUCUGCUCAAUCUAAGGACAAUUUCUUUAACACGUAGAGAGUCUGUAAAUGAUGUGGACUGGCUGAUGCUAAAAAGAGUCAAAUGAAAUGACUUAAAUGCCUCAUUGGUACCCAGAGUUGAGUCUGUAGUAUCUAAUUCUUCAAUGGACAAUCUGCCUUGACCUACCUACCUAAUAAGAUAUCUCUAAAUGUUAUAUUCAAUCACUUUAACUAUAAUAAACCAAUUCACCCACGUAUUGCCCUUCAAUACAAACCACCAAAUCACAGAGGAAGACCAAAGGCAAAGGUCAUCUCUAAAUUAUCUCUAAAGAUUUUUUAGAAGGCCUAAUUGUAAACAAAGAAGAGAUUGAAAAUUUUUAGAAGACUGUAGAUG